CGCAUCUGUGCAUGCAGCAUAUCAAUAAGCGGAGGAAAAGGCUGCGGAACUGAACGACCGCUACCUACGCUUAGGAUGUUGACACACGCGCGUGCUCGGCUCUAUACAUGACUCUGUGCAUAUCAAUAAGCGGAGGAAAAGAAACUAACAAGGAUUCCCUUAGUAACGGCGAGUGAAGCGGGAAGAGCUCAAGUUUGAAAUCUUCAAGGUUUUACCUUGACGAAUUGUAGUUUAAAGAAGUGUUUUCUGCUGAAGUUUUGGUAAAAGUUCUUUGGAAUAGGACAUCAUAGAGGGUGAGAAUCCCGUAUUUGACCAUUACUUUCAACUUUGUGAUACACUUUCAAAGAGUCGGAUUGUUUGGGAAUGCAGUCCAAAAUGGGUGGUAAAUUUCAUCUAAAGCUAAAUAUUGGCGAGAGACCGAUAGCGAACAAGUACCGUGAGGGAAAGAUGAAAAGAACUUUGAAAAGAGAGUUAAACAGUACGUGAAAUUGUCAAAAGGGAAGCGUUUGACACCAGUGUCGUUUUUCUGAAAAUCAAUUAAAGAACUGUUUAUGCUAAGCUGUUUAGGACUUUAUCAGCUAAUCUGUUUAGUUUUGAGCUUUUCUUUAAUGCACUUUUCAGUUAACAAGUCAACAUCAAUUUCUUUUGCUGUAAAAAAGCUUGAGGAAGGUGGCUUGAGAUUCGUCUUAAGUGUUUAUAGCCUCUUGCCUAUGCAGUCGGAGAGAUUGAGGUCUGCAGCGUAGAUCCUUCGGGGCUAAAUGCAUUUGUGCUAAGUUAUAACAUUUUAUAGACAACUUGUUGACUAUGAUUUGUCUUGUAGCUUACUCGCUUAUGUUAUUUUACCUACGCUUAGGAUGUUGAUAGUCACAGCGUGUACUCGACUCUAUACAUGACUCUGUGCAUAUCAAUAAGCGGAGGAAAAGGGUACCUACGCUUAGGAUGUUGAUAGUCACAGCGUGUAC
rnacentral:rRNA from 1 species